AUUGAACGCUGGCGGCAUGCCUUACACAUGCAAGUCGAACGGCAGCGCGGGAGCAAUCCUGGCGGCGAGUGGCGAACGGGUGAGUAAUACAUCGGAACGUGCCCAAUCGUGGGGGAUAACGCAGCGAAAGCUGUGCUAAUACCGCAUACGAUCUACGGAUGAAAGCAGGGGAUCGCAAGACCUUGCGCGAAUGGAGCGGCCGAUGGCAGAUUAGGUAGUUGGUGAGGUAAAGGCUCACCAAGCCUUCGAUCUGUAGCUGGUCUGAGAGGACGACCAGCCACACGGGAACUGAGACACGGCCCAGACUCCUACGGGAGGCAGCGGUGGGGAAUUUUGGACAAGGGGCGAAGGCCUGAUCCAGCCAUGCCGCGGGCAGAAUGAAGGCCUUCGGGUUGUAAACUGCUUUUGUACGGAACGAAACGGUCUUUUCUAAUAAAGAAGGCUAAUGACGGUACCGUAAGAAUAAGCACCGGCUAACUACGU
rnacentral:rRNA from 1 species